rnacentral:rRNA from 1 species
GAUGAACGCUGGCGGCGUGCCUAAUACAUGCAAGUCGAGCGAACAGACGAGGAGCUUGCUCCUCUGACGUUAGCGGCGGACGGGUGAGUAACACGUGGAUAACCUACCUAUAAGACUGGGAUAACUUCGGGAAACCGGAGCUAAUACCGGAUAACAUUUUGAACCGCAUGGUUCAACAGUGAAAGACGGUCUUGCUGUCACUUAUAGAUGGAUCCGCGCCGCAUUAGCUAGUUGGUAAGGUAACGGCUUACCAAGGCAACGAUGCGUAGCCGACCUGAGAGGGUGAUCGGCCACACUGGAACUGAGACACGGUCCAGACUCCUACGGGAGGCAGCAGUAGGGAAUCUUCCGCAAUGGGCGAAAGCCUGACGGAGCAACGCCGCGUGAGUGAAGAAGGUCUUCGGAUCGUAAAACUCUGUUAUUAGGGAAGAACAAAUGUGUAAGUAACUAUGCACGUCUUGACGGUACCUAAUCAGAAAGCCACGGCUAACUACGUG